UCCUGGUUUCCCAGGCAGUCCCAUCAGAGUGCCUCCUUACGGAGUAGCAACUGAUAGUAGGGGUUGCGCUCGUUAUAGGACUUAACCCAACAUCUCACGACACGAGCUGACGACAGCCAUGCAGCACCUGUUCAUAUGUCCAAGGUUUCCCUUGAAAAACCACAUCUCUGUAGCGGUCAUAUGUAUGUCAAACCUAGGUAAGGUUCCUCGCGUAGUGUCGAAUUAAACCACAUGUUCCACCGCUUGUGCGGACCCCCGUCAAUUCCUUUGAGUUUUAAUCUUGCGACCGUACUCCCCAGGCGGAUCACUUAUCGCGUUAGCUGCGACACCAAUCUUGCAAGCAAGACCAACGUCUAGUGAUCAUCGUUUACAGCGUGGACUAC
rnacentral:misc_RNA from 1 species